UAGAUGGCGCGUGAUAUACAUGCAGUCGAGCGAAUGGAUUAAGAGCUUGCUCUUAUGAAGUUAGCGGCGGACGGGUGAGUAACACGUGGGUAACCUACCCAUAAGACUGGGAUAACUCCGGGAAACCGGGGCUAAUACCGGAUAAUAUUUUGAACUGCAUAGUUCGAAAUUGAAAGGCGGCUUCGGCUGUCACUUAUGGAUGGACCCGCGUCGCAUUAGCUAGUUGGUGAGGUAACGGCUCACCAAGGCGACGAUGCGUAGCCGACCUGAGAGGGUGAUCGGCCACACUGGGACUGAGACACGGCCCAGACUCCUACGGGAGGCAGCAGUAGGGAAUCUUCCGCAAUGGACGAAAGUCUGACGGAGCAACGCCGCGUGAGUGAUGAAGGCUUUCGGGUCGUAAAACUCUGUUGUUAGGGAAGAACAAGUGCUAGUUGAAUAAGCUGGCACCUUGACGGUACCUAACCAGAAAGCCACGGCUAACUACGUGCCAGCAGCCGCGGUAAUACGUAGGUGGCAAGCGUUAUCCGGAAUUAUUGGGCGUAAAGCGCGCGCAGGUGGUUUCUUAAGUCUGAUGUGAAAGCCCACGGCUCAACCGUGGAGGGUCAUUGGAAACUGGGAGACUUGAGUGCAGAAGAGGAAAGUGGAAUUCCAUGUGUAGCGGUGAAAUGCGUAGAGAUAUGGAGGAACACCAGUGGCGAAGGCGACUUUCUGGUCUGUAACUGACACUGAGGCGCGAAAGCGUGGGGAGCAAACAGGAUUAGAUACCCUGGUAGUCCACGCCGUAAACGAUGAGUGCUAAGUGUUAGAGGGUUUCCGCCCUUUAGUGCUGAAGUUAACGCAUUAAGCACUCCGCCUGGAGAGUACGGCCGCAAGGCUGAAACUCAAAGGAAUUGACGGGGGCGCGUUCAAGCCGUGGAGCUUGUGUGUUAAUUCGAAGCAACGGCUAGAACCUUACCAGGUCUUGACAUCCUCUGAAAACUCUAGAGAUAGAGCUUCUCCUUCGGGAGCAGAGUGACAGGUGGUGCAUGGUUGUCGUCAGCUCGUGUCGUGAGAUGUUGGGUUAAGUCCCGCAACGAGCGCAACCCUUGAUCUUAGUUGCCAUCAUUAAGUUGGGCACUCUAAGGUGACUGCCGGUGACAAACCGGAGGAAGGUGGGGAUGACGUCWAAUCAUCAUGCCCCUUAUGACCUGGGCUACACACGUGCUACAAUGGACGGUACAAAGAGCUGCAAGACCGCGAGGUGGAGCUAAUCUCAUAAAACCGUUCUCAGUUCGGAUUGUAGGCUGCAACUCGCCUACAUGAAGCUGGAAUCGCUAGUAAUCGCGGAUCAGCAUG
rnacentral:rRNA from 2 species